CAACAGGGAUUACCUCAGUAACGGCGAGUGAAGCGGUAACAGCUCAAAUUUGAAAUCUGGCGCUUUCAGCGUCCGAGUUGUAAUUUGUAGAAGAUGCUUUGGGUGUGGCUCCGGUCUAAGUUCCUUGGAACAGGACGUCAUAGAGGGUGAGAAUCCCGUAUGUGACUGGCUGCCUUCGCCUAUGUAAAGCUCUUUCGACGAGUCGAGUUGUUUGGGAAUGCAGCUCUAAAUGGGAGGUAUAUUUCUUCUAAAGCUAAAUAUUGGCCAGAGACCGAUAGCGCACAAGUAGAGUGAUCGAAAGAUGAAAAGCACUUUGGAAAGAGAGUUAAACAGUACGUGAAAUUGUUGAAAGGGAAGCGCUUGCAACCAGACUUGCCUGCGGUCGAUCAUCCUGGGUUCUCCCUGGUGCACUCGAUCGUGGUCAGGCCAGCAUCGGUUUCGGUGGUGGGAUAAAGGCCUUGGGAAUGUAGCAGUCUUCGGGCUGUGUUAUAGCCCUCGGUGCAAUGCCGCCUACCGGGACCGAGGACCGCGCUUCGGCUAGGAUGCUGGCGUAAUGGUUGUAAGCGACCCGUCUUGAAACACGGACCAAGGAGUCUAACAUCUAUGCGAGUGUUUGGGUGUUAAACCCAUACGCGUAAUUAACGUGAACGGAGGUGAGAACCCUUAAGGGUGCAUCAUCGACCGAUCCUGAUGUCUUCGGAUGGAUUUGAGUAAGAGCAUAGCUGUUGGGACCCGAAAGAUGGUGAACUAUGCCUAAAUAGGGUGAAGCCAGAGGAAACUCUGGUGGAGGCUCGCAGCGGUUCUGACGUGCAAAUCGAUCGUCAAAUUUGGGUAUAGGGGCGAAAGACUAAUCGAACCAU
rnacentral:rRNA from 1 species